GACGAACGCUGGCGGCGUGCUUAACACAUGCAAGUCGAACGGAAAGGCCCUGCUUUUGUGGGGUGCUCGAGUGGCGAACGGGUGAGUAACACGUGAGUAACCUGCCCUUGACUUUGGGAUAACUUCAGGAAACUGGGGCUAAUACCGGAUAGGAGCUCCUGCUGCAUGGUGGGGGUUGGAAAGUUUCGGCGGUUGGGGAUGGACUCGCGGCUUAUCAGCUUGUUGGUGGGGUAGUGGCUUACCAAGGCUUUGACGGGUAGCCGGCCUGAGAGGGUGACCGGCCACAUUGGGACUGAGAUACGGCCCAGACUCCUACGGGAGGCAGCAGUGGGGAAUAUUGCACAAUGGGCGGAGGCCUGAUGCAGCAACGCCGCGUGCGGGAUGACGGCCUUCGGGUUGUAAACCGCUUUCGCCUGUGACGAAGCGUGAGUGACGGUAACGGGUAAAGAAGCACCGGCUAACUACGUG
rnacentral:rRNA from 1 species